CUCCCGCCGGCGACCGGCGCACGGGUGAGUAACACGUAUGAAACCUGCCCGUAGCAGGGGGAUAAGCGGAAGAAAUUCCGUCUAAUACCGCGUAAUAUCUUUCGGGGGCAUUCCUGAGGGAUUAAAGGAAGCGAUUCCGGCUACGGAUGGGCAUGCGGCGCAUUAGCUAGUUGGCGGGGUAACGGCCCACCAAGGCGACGAUGCGUAGGGGUUCUGAGAGGAAGGUCCCCCACACUGGUACUGAGACACGGACCAGACUCCUACGGGAGGCAGCAG
rnacentral:rRNA from 1 species